rnacentral:rRNA from 1 species
UGGGGAAUAUUGCACAAUGGGCGCAAGCCUGAUGCAGCAACGCCACGUGAACGAUGAAGGUCUUCGGAUCGUAAAGUUCUGUUGCAGGGGAAGAUAAUGACGGUACCCUGUGAGGAAGCCCCGGCUAACUACGUGCCAGCAGCCGCGGUAAUACGUAGGGGGCUAGCGUUAUCCGGAUUUACUGGGCGUAAAGGGUGCGUAGGUGGUCUUUCAAGUCGGUGGUUAAAGGCUACGGCUCAACCGUAGUUAGCCUCCGAAACUGGAAGACUUGAGUGCAGGAGAGGAAAGUGGAAUUCCCAGUGUAGCGGUGAAAUGCGUAGAUAUUGGGAGGAACACCAGUAGCGAAGGCGGCUUUCUGGACUGCAACUGACACUGAGGCACGAAAGCGUGGGUAGCAAACAGG